rnacentral:rRNA from 1 species
UAACUGGGCGUAAAGGGCACGCAGGCGGUGACUUAAGUGAGAUGUGAAAGCCCCGGGCUUAACCUGGGAAUUGCAUUUCAUACUGGGUCGCUAGAGUACUUUAGGGAGGGGUAGAAUUCCACGUGUAGCGGUGAAAUGCGUAGAGAUGUGGAGGAAUACCGAAGGCGAAGGCAGCCCCUUGGGGAUGUACUGACGCUCAUGUGCGAAAGCGUGGGGAGCAAACAGGAUUAGAUACCCUGGUAGUCCACGCUGUAAACGAUGUCGAUUUGGGGAUUGGGCUUUAAGCUUGGUGCCCGUAGCUAACGUGAUAAAUCGACCGCCUGGGGAGUACGGCCGCAAGGUUAAAACUCAAAUGAAUUGACGGGGGCCCGCACAAGCGGUGGAGCAUGUGGUUUAAUUCGAUGCAACGCGAAGAACCUUACCUACUCUUGACAUCCAUGGAAUCUUGUAGAGAUACGAGAGUGCCUUCGGGAACCAUGAGACAGGUGCUGCAUGGCUGUCGUCAGCUCGUGUCGUGAGAAG